AAAAAGAAAAAGAGAAAGGCCAAGGGAGAAAAGGGGCAUUAGAGAGAAAGGAGUGGUUUCUUGGUGAGGAAAAUGGAGGAAAAGAAAUAAACAGAGAGUAAGAAACAAGGGGAAAUUGAGAGAAAAAAUAAAGAAAAAUUGAGGAGAUAUAGGAGAGCUGAAUCUUGCGCCGCACAAGUGAAGACACCGUGAAAGAGGAAAGCAAAACCAAGAAAUAGAGAGUAAAGGGACAAGGAAAUAGACAGCAAAACCAGGAGAGAACGAAUCGGGAGAAAAGAAUAGGAAAGCAAAAUCGGGAGAGAGCUUAUUUGGAUAUUGGAUUGGGUUUGAACAACAUACAGGCUCAAUGGGCCAUAUUUAUAUUUUUGUUUAUUUUGUAUAUAUUUUUAUCUUGUUUUUAUUUGGUAUAUAUAUCCUUGUAAAUGUAAAUAUGUAAUAGGGUAGUGGAAAUAAUGAAAAGUAGUGUA